rnacentral:lncRNA from 1 species
GACUAUAAAUGAUGUAGGCAAGAUCCUAGGGGUCCUAAGCUCAAACAUUGAAGAUCAAAUAUCGUGCAUGCUCGAAUCAAAUCACACCCAAAGAAUUGUAACAUAUGAAGAGCAACUUCCAACUCAACUAUGGGCAACAACCAUCAAACAACUCAAUGCAUGUAUACUAAUUCAAUCUUGGUGCAACCUUUAUUUUCUCUCUUUUUUUUUUUCUUUUUUCUGCACCACUUCAUUAAAACAACACAAUCAUGCAAAGAGUACAUCAAAAACAAUCUGCCCAUCUGUCAACAUC